UUAACAUUUGACCAAUUUCAAGUAUGGAUUUAUGGAAAUGUCAUAACUAGAGCAAGAGAGACAUAAAAGAGAAAUAGUACUAAGAAAAAUGGAAAAAGUACAUCAUCAACAUAAGAGCAAAUGUCUCAAUGCAUUAUUCUAUAUAUUUUUUUUUAUCUAUCGGUUCUGUUAUAAUAGUCAAGAGAAGUAAAAAUAAUAGGAGUAUGAAGAAUGCAACAACCCACACUAAGAUGUUUAUAACAUCAUAUGUACACGAUGAAUGCCAAAUGAACUAAUUUGCGGUCUAAGUCAUCAUCAUCUGUUACCAUUGAAUCACUUCAACUUUGUGUCAAGUCCCCAAAUCCGGAUUGUUCCAUCAUCACUUGCUGAGGCCACCAUAUAGAGGUUAGUCGGGUUUCAACUGACACACUUCACCGAUCCUGAGUAUCCUCGCAAUACACUACAAGAUUACGUCAGUGUUCUUCGUAUGACCCAUAUGUAUACCUGACACAUCAAAGAAAUAUUACUCGGAAGACUCUAAAAGAGAUUGAUAAGAACUGUUUUCCCCCAUAUCUAUGUCUUUUUUACGUUGUAGAUUAAUUAUUCUUGAUUUGGGUAUCAUAAAUUUAAAUUAAACAAUCUAGUUAAAAAUGAUGAGAUCUAUUUGGAGUGAAAUUA
rnacentral:sRNA from 1 species